UCCUUCCUCUCCCAAGGGAAGGGAAGAAAGGGAACAGAAGGGAGGGAAAGCCGGCAAGGAGUUCGGUCGAGCGCCCAUGUCCACGCCGCCAUCAUCGACCUGAUCCGUGUCCUCGACCUCGCCGCCACGCAGACGCCGGACCUCACCGCCGUCGUCACAAGAAUCCAGGGCGGGCUGGGGGGCAACCUCUACUCCGCCGGGAUGGCAAUGACGCCCGUUAGGGCGAUGCUCGCUGGCGGCGCCGUGGCCGGCCAGGAGCUGAAGAAGAGCCACGUCUGGCUGCAGUUUUCCCAGGCUUUCCAGGCAGCUUGAUGUGGGAUGGAAGGAAGGAGGCCGACGGAGAUAGCUGACGCCCGGGUAACCCCAUCCUCCCAAGCUUGCAUUGACCAUAGAGGCACACCACAAAAUCCAGCCAGGACCUACACCCUUGAAUCAGAAGGUGAAGCCAUAUGCGCAAGUUUGACCGAAGCCAUGAACACAAUAUCUACAGCACAUGAUCAUGUGUUACUAUUCUCUAGGAGUGUUGCCAUGGCUAGCAAUGUGUGACUUUUCUGAGACUUGUUGCACCUUCAAAUAUGCUCUUGUUUGCUUGAAGGAGUAAUUAACUGAAUCAUUUUCAGUUAAUUAAAAUUUGGUGUAUACUGCUUGCUUGCAUCAAUAGUGCACUACUCUUUGCUUCACUUGUUUAUACUUGGAGCGCGCGCGCACACACACACACACACUUGGGCUAAAUCUAUUAGCUUGGAAUUAACUUGGGCUAAUCUUAGCCAUCUUUGCUGCUGCAGAGCAGAGUUAUCGACACCAUGUUUCUUUUUACUCAUUUGCAUCACCAUUCGAUACUGCCUUCUGCGACCGUUGUAAAACGUAGUACAUAAUACUUAUCUUAACUGAUACUUGUUUAUCCUCCCUUGCAAUUUGCACAUUGUACGUGACAGUCGUUUGUUUCUCUGGUUACAUUCUGUAUUUGUUUUUCUGUAACUUAAAUUAAUAUAAUAAUUACUAAUCAGACUAGUGUUCUUUAUGAUAACUUCCUCAAUAGUAAUUCUCGGAAGUUGCUUUAACUAGCAUUAGCUCAGUUAUUAGUUGUUUGGGAUUACUUAUGAUUUUACCCUGAGCUUUACGACUUUAUUUCCUGCCAUCAGUAAACCACUGGAAGCUGAUAUAACUGUUAGUCUUUUGGUCAAUUUUCUGUUAUUUAUAUACCAUGAGUAAUUCAAAACUAACUGUACAUAACACCUAUAGCAA